rnacentral:rRNA from 1 species
GAUGAACGCUGGCGGCGUGCUUAACACAUGCAAGUCGAACGGGAAACCUUUUAUUGAAGCUUCGGCAGAUUUAGCUGGUUUCUAGUGGCGGACGGGUGAGUAACGCGUGGGUAACCUGCCUUACACAGGGGGAUAACAACCAGAAAUGGUUGCUAAUACCGCAUAAGCGCACAGGACCGCAUGGUCCGGUGUGAAAAACUCCGGUGGUAUAAGAUGGACCCGCGUUGGAUUAGCUAGUUGGCAGGGUAACGGCCUACCAAGGCGACGAUCCAUAGCCGGCCUGAGAGGGUGAACGGCCACAUUGGGACUGAGACACGGCCCAGACUCCUACGGGAGGCAGCAGUGGGGAAUAUUGCACAAUGGGGGAAACCCUGAUGCAGCGACGCCGCGUGAAGGAAGAAGUAUCUCGGUAUGUAAACUUCUAUCAGCAGGGAAGAUAGUGACGGUACCUGACUAAGAAGCCCCGGCUAACUACGUG